CUCCAUUCUGGAGAAUAUCAGGAAAUAUGAGAAAAAGACAAGCAAAAGCAAAUAAUCAACAGAAGAACAUAAAAUUCUUUGGUCUUGUCAUUUCUGUUGCAAUUCCUGUGUUGAAUUAAAAUAUUAAGGUGCUCUCAUGAGAAGACAGUAUGAUUCAAUGCGAUUAUGUUUUACUAAAAUAUAAACUUUUUUGUUUUGUUUUGUUUUCGAGGAGGAGUCUCACUCUUUCGCCCAGGCUAGAGUGCAGUGCAGCGACCUCGGCUCACUGAAGCCUACCCCUCCGGGUUUAAGUGAUUCUCCUGCUUUAAAAAUCAUCAUAUGGGAAUCAAACAAACAGAAGAAUAAGAGGAAUAACAUAUACCCUUUCUUAAAAAAACAUGGGAUAUUAAACGAUAUGAGUGAUGCCCUGCCAAGAGAGGAGGAAUCUAGAGAGGCAGUCUGACUACAGUGGCUUUGUGGUGCUGCAGUGCACUCUGCCUAGUCCUAACUUCCCAGUGGUGUUGUUUACACUGUGAGGGGAAAACCACCUACUCAAGCCUCAGUAACGGCGGAUGCCCCUACCCCCACCAAGCUUGAGUGUUCCAGGCCGACUUCCCACUGCUGUGCUGGCAGCAAGAAUUUCAAGCCAGUGGAUUUUAGCUUUUUUGGGCUCCAUGGCGGUAGGAUCUGCUGAGCAAGACCACUUGGAUCCCUGGCUUCAGCCUCUUUUCCAGGAUGUACCAUGAAGUAUAUUUGGGAAGACUUCAGGAAGAUUCCAGUCAUGGCUGAAGGCAAAGCAGGAGCAGGCGUCUCACAUGGCAGGAGCCUGAGCAAGAGAGAGUGAGAGGGUGGUGCUACACACUUUUAAAGAACCAAAUCUCACAAGAACUCAGGAUUAUGAGAAGAGCACCAAGAAGAUGGUGCUAAACCAUUCAUGAGAAACCCACCCCCAUGAUUUAAUUAUCUCCCCCCAAGCCCCACCUUCAAUAUUAGGAACAACAAUCUGAUAUACAGCUUGGGCAGGGACACAGAUCCAAACCAUAUCAGUAUGUUAGAAAAACUUAAGAAAUAAUAAGAAACCAGCAAUAUUUAGGGAGUAUCAAAUCUAAUAUGUUCUCUGUUUACAUUAGCAACUUUGAAAAGUAAAGAGAAAGAGUGACAUGGUGAGAAUGGUAAAGUAAGAAAGGCUAAAAAAUAAAUCUGUCCUUCCAUAGAAGCAACAACAAUAUCUGUCAAAAUUCUCAGAAUCAACUAUUUCAGAAUACUGGACAUUAACACAAAAACUGCAGCAAUUAGGUCAAUGCUUAUUCAAGGAGAAACCAGUUAUCUCUAAGUAAGAAGAGUGAGCUUUUGGCAUUUCAAUCUACUUUGGUCUAUCUUCCAUAUUGCAAGUCAGUGAAUGGUCUUGAAGAAAACAGCCGCCAUUUCCAGUACAGAAAUGAAAAGCUGAUUCUAAAAUUCAUAGAGAAUUGCAAGGAACACAGAAGAAUGAAGAGUAUCUUUAAAAAGGACAAAACUGGAGGUCUCACACUUCUCAAUGCCUGAAUUUACUAGUAAACUACACUAAUCAAACAGUGUGGUAUUAUCAUAAACAUAGACAGACAUGGAUCAAUGAAAUAGAACUCAGAGUCCAAAAAUAAAACAACAUAUUUAUGGUCAAUUGAUUUUCAAGAGAAUUGGUAAAAACUCUUAAUGAGAAAAAAAUAUUUUCAAUAAAUGGUACUGAGACAACUAAAUAUUCACAAGUAAAAGAAUAAAUUUGGACCUCUACAUUAUGUCAUAUAUAAAAAUUAAAUCAAAAUGGAUCGAAGACUUAAAUGUAAGAGCUGAAAAUAUAAAAUUCAUAGAAGGAAAUAUAUGUGUAAAUCUUCAACACUUUACGUUAGCCAGUGGUUGUUGAAACAUAGCACAAAAGACACAAUCAACCAAGAAAAAAAUAAACUGUACUUCAUCAAAAUUAAAAACAAUUUUUCCAUCAUUGGACACUACAAAGCAAUGGAAAAGAUAACUCAUGGAAUUAAAAAAUAUAUUUCCGUAUUAUAUAUCUGAUAAAAGUCUAGUAUCCAGAAUAUGUAAAGAAUUCUCACAAAUAACAACUAAAAGAUAAACAGCUAAUUUCAAAAAUGCGGCUGGGCACAGUGGGUUACAACUGUAAUCCCAGAGCUUUGUGAGGUUGAGGUGGGAGGAUUGCUUGAGGCUAGGAGUUUGAGACCAAUCUGGGCAACAUAGCAAGACCCUGUCUCUACAAAAAUACCUUUAAAAAAAAUUAGCCAGGUGUGGUGGUGGGUGCCUGCAGCCAUAGCUGCUCAGAAGGCUGAGGUGGGAAGACUGCUUAAAUGCAGGAGUUCAAGGUUGCACUGAACUAUAAUAUGCCACUGCACUCCAGCCUGGCCGACAGGGCAAGACUCUAUCUCAAAUAAUAAUUUAAAAAAAUGAGCAAAGAACAUAGACAUUUUUCCAUAAAUAUAUAAAGUCAAUAAGCAUCUGAAACAAUGGUUAAUAUCAUUAGGUCAUUAAGAAUUCAAACAAAGAACUACUCUAAACCCACUAGGAUAGCAAGAUGAAGAAGAUAAUAAAAGAAGGAAGAGGAGGAGAGGGGGAAAAAGAGGAAGAGAAGGAUGGAGAAGGCAAAGGGAGGAGAAAAAGGUGGAGGAGGAGAAAGGGAGGAAGAAGAUAAUAAGAAGUGCUGGCAAGGAUGUGGAGAAACUGGAAUGUUUAUACAUUACUGAUGGGAAUAUAAAAUGGUGCACUUGCUGUGGAAAACAGUAUGGCUAUUUCUCAAAAAGCUAAAAGUAGGGUUAUAUCAGAUAACUCAGAAAUGUCACUCCUAGGUGUAUGCCCAAGAGAAUUAAACACAUAUGUUUACAUAAAAACUUGUAUACAAAUGUUGAUAGGAGUAUUAUUAAUAAUAGUCCCAAAUUAGGCACAAUCAAAGUGUCCAUCAAAUGAUGAGUGGAUAAACAACUGUGGUAAAUGCAUACAGCAGAAUAUUAUUUAACCAAAACAGAAAAAGUAAUGAUACAUGCUACAGUGUGGAUGAACUUAAAACCAUGCUAAGUUAAAAAGCCAGUCAAUAAAGUCCACAUGUUAUAUGAUCCAUUUACAUAAAAUAUCCAGAAUAGUCAAAUUUAUACAUGCAGAAACUAGAUUAAUAAUAACAGGGGCUUGGAGUAGAAGGAAUAGUGUGUGGCUGUUUAUUAGGUGUAGCUUAUUUUUUUGGGGUGAUAAUAUUCUGGAAGAUAGUAGUAAUUAUUGCACAACAUUCUGCAUAUACUACAAACUGUCAAAUUUCACAAUUUAACAUGGUUAAAAUGCUAAAUCUUAUGUAAAUUUUACCCUCCUUUAUUUUUUAAUAAAAUGAAUUGUAUUAAUUUAUUUACUGUUCUUACCAUAUCAGAGUAUUGACUAUACCCAGUUGUACAUUCCUUUUUUUUAGAUGUAUACUUAGCAUGUACACAUAAGUGUGUGAGGGUAGGAACUAUCUCAAUGGUUUUUAGAGUUAGAUUAUUCAUUUGUAACAAUAUAUCUGAUGUAUCAUGGGAUCUUAAUAAAUGUUUGUUGAGUGAAAAAUAAAU
rnacentral:lncRNA from 1 species